rnacentral:lncRNA from 1 species
GCCGGGUCCGCAGGGCAGGCUGAGAGGCUCUGUCCUAAGGCCCAGCAAAGAGAAGAGGUGGUGUGACCCACAGGUCCCAACUGCCCAGGACUGCAUGAGUGUGUGGCAGGCAGGGAGGCAUGACCAGAGUCUCAGUGGUGUGGCCUGUGACCUGGGUCUUUACGGGUUCUCUUUUCCGUUGCCUCUACAGGGCAGGCCUUGCCCCUACUUUGAAAGGGACUUUAGUUAGUAGUAAUCUGUGCACUAAAACGGACUGAGGUAUCAGUUUUAAUGGGUUAAUAUAUUCCCCUUCCACAUGCUUUUCUUUUUUUUCUUUUUUUUUUUUUUUGAGACGGAGUCUCGCUCUGUCACCCAGUAGGCUGGAGUGCAGCGGGGCAAUCUCGGCUCACUGCAAGCUCCGCUUCCCGGGUUCACGCCAUUCUCCUGCUUCAGCCUCCCGAGCAGCUGGGACUACAGGCUCCCGCCACCAUACCUGGCUAGUUUUUUUUGUAUUUUUAGUAGAGACUGGAUUUCACCGUGCUAGCCAGGAUGGUCUCGAUCUCCUGACCUCAUGAUCUUCCCACCUCGGCCUCCCAAAGUCCGGGAUUACAGACAUGAACCACUGCACCUGGCCCCUCUUCCACAUGCUUUUCAUGUGGAUUUUCUGGAAGCCCAAAACUUCCCACAAGGCAGAGAUUCUCCCAGGUAACCAUAGGAGAUAGUUGAGGGAGGAGGGGGCCAAAGUACAAAUCACAUUCUUUCUUUCAUACUACAAACAUUUAUUGAGCACCUGCUAUUUGCUUAGCCCUGUUCUAGUGAAUCCUUCUUCUAGGAGUACGAGAAAGAGAACACUUUCUGCUGCUAUUCUCAAAUAGAUCACUGUUAACAUUCACGGAACACUUAACUAAAUUCCAGGCACUGUUCUAAGAAUCUCACAUAUAUGAACUGAUUUAAUCCUCAUGACAACCCUAUGAGGUAGGUACUAUUAUCACCACCAUAAAGAAACUGAGGCACAGAGAGGUUAGGCAGUUUACCCAAGGUCUGCGGGUGGCAGAGCUGGGAUCUGAAUGAGACAGACAGGGUUGGAGUCUGUACACUGUGCUGCCUGCCUCCAGCCCUGGGUGUUACUCAAGCUGUCUGAGCCUGCCAUGCACUGCUGGAAGACCAAGUGAUCCUGGCCAUGGAAGGCCCCUGGCAUAUGCGAUGCCUCACCCAGAGAGUUACUGUCCAGUGAGUGGUGGUCGAUACCCACUGUGUGCCCAGUACUUUGCUAGACCCUGUGAGGGACACCAAGAUAAGAGCCCUGACUCUGCCUGCGCUCACCCUGGGAUCACCUGUGCCCCUGAGAGACCGUGCCCUGCUUCCCCUCCCUCUUCACACUCACUUCCCAAAGGCGAAGCACUCCAGGGUGACCUGCUGCCCCACCAGUGCAUAGGUCUCUGCUGGGAACCGGGCCUUGAUGCUGGGUGCAAAGAGCCGGGUAUCUGGGGAGAGAGGGUUUUACAAAUCAGAUGCAGAUGACUCCAGGUCAGGUGCUCCCGUGCAUGGGAUCUCAGCACCUUUCCGAGCCAACUCUGUCUAGGCAGCUGUGUGGAAUCUCCUUGAGGCCUGGGGCAAGGGCCUCAGGAUUUGAAGCAGGAGGAUCUGGGGGUCCAGGGCCUGGAAUCAGUGCCCUGUAAGCUGAUCUUCCAAUCUCCAAAGGAAAAACCCUUUUCCCAAUGCCCGCUGACCCUUCCAGUUCCCUCCCUCCAGCCACGCCUGGCCAAGCCUGACCUUCAGCAGCCAGGUUGAGCUGAGCAAACUUGCUGAAGACGCUCUUGGUGGAGAAGUCCAUGUGGCUGGUGGCCAAACAGGAGUAGUUGCCCAGGUCUGAGGCAUUGGUUCGGGCAAUGUACAGGUUCCCUGUGGUCUGCGACACGAAGUGACGCCCGUCCGUCGGGAUGAAGUUGGGGAACUCGUUGAGGAGCCAGCGGUAGGACAAGCCUAGGAUGUGAGGAGUUUGAGGAAACCAGGGGGUGCUGGGCUAACAGGGCCACUCUGGGUGGGACCCCAGCAUGCUGGUGCGGUUCUGCAAGCCCUGUCCUGACAGCCACCAUGCUCUGAACUGGGGCUAAGGGGAGACCUAGAGGGAAGAAGCGACUUUAUUCCUGCCCUCAGGGAGCGCUAAGUCUGCCAGGGAUCGCAGCCCUCAGGGGCCACCCAGUUUGAAGGUGGAAGCAGGGCACAACGAUGGAAAAUGACAGACCCAUAAAGGAAACACAGAUCAUUUAAAGUUAGGGUCCCAGGGAUGGGUGCUUCUAAGGGUCAUUUCCAGGGGUCUCCUUUUAUUCCAUCCUUCCUCUGCCAAGCAUCUGGAAGCCCUUCCUGUGCCCUCUCUAACCCUGGCCCCAGGGCUGGACUCACCUGGGUAGUGGGCAGGUGGGUUACAGGGCAACAUCACCCCCCAGCCUUCAUGAGUUUUCACUGGGUCUCGCUCCUCCUUGGAGAAUUCCUGCAGAACUGGAGGCAGAGACCAGGGGCUCAGGCACUGUCCUCCUGGCCUGCGAGCCCCUCCCCGACUCAUCCUUCCCGGAGAAGCAGCAGUUCACUAAGGCAUGUCAUGUGAGGUCAGGAAGGCCCGGCUUGAGGGUGUCACUUAUCCUUUCUCAGUAAUUUCUCCUAGCCCCCUCUCCCCCUCCCCCAAAGUGUCUUGGUCCCCCGCGGGUCUCACAGCCGAAGCGGAGGAUGGCCUCCCUGCUGACGACGGUGCCCACUGGGUUGGAGGCCAGGCACUGGUAGACCCCGGCAUCCUGUGCCUUGGUGGGGUUCAUGAUGACCAGGUUGCCCCCCACCAGCUGGUGACGGGAACCUGGCUCCAGCUUCAUCUCGGUACCGUUCAUCUUCCACCUGCGGCAGGGGACAGAGGAAGGGGACCUCUGAGUCCUGCCUGGUGGCAGGGCUGAUGAGAGGGAAAGUUCAACGGCUGCCCAGGGCCUCCCAGCACCCACUGCAGAGGCCUUACCAAUAGGUGGCUGGAGGGCUGGCCCGGGCGCGGCAUGCCAGCAACACCUGCUCCUCCGUGGACUCCUCUGGGAAUAGCACACUGAGGGGCUGGUCUUCAAAGACAGGCCCGAAGGUGGUUUGGGAUCCCAGGGCUGAACUCCAAGCUGCAGGUGAUGACACCACCAGAUGCCUCAGAGCCUUGGUCUGGCUGGAGCCUGGCCUCUUGGGCUGUGCUGUCCAGUAAAACUUUCUCUGAUGAUGGGAAUGUCCCAUUUUCUGCACUGUUUAAUGUGGUAACCACUAGCCACGUGGGGCUAUUGAGCACUUGACAUGUGGCUAUUGCGACUGAAGGACGACAUUUUACAUUUUAUAUUAAUUAAUUUAAAUUUGAAUUUAAAUAGACUGGGCAGGCCCCAUCUGGCCAUACUAGUUCAAUCAAUCACCCAUCCUACACUUAGGUAUUGAGCACCUGCUCUAUACCCAGCACUGGGCUAGAGACUGGCUUGUAAAGAUGAUUAAGACACAGUCCCUCUUCUUCAAGGGGCUUGCGGUCCAAGGAGGGAGACAGGAAAUUGACAGUGCAAGGUAGCAAAUGCCAUAAAGUUCAAGAUGCUGGGGCCUCAGAAUGGAAGCAGUUCUACCUCCCAGGGGGCUUUCAAGGGACCCUUACAGAAGAACUGAUCUGUGGGGUGUGAGGUGCAUGAGACGUCGCCAGCCACAAACAUGCAGAGAGGAUGUGUGUCCCUGGAGCCUAAUACCCUUACUGGGGCAGUGUGGACCAACGAGGCCUGGGCCUGGGGACUAGGCUGGCCCUCUACUAGCUGUGGGACCUUGGGAAAGUUAUAGAACUCUUCUGAGCCUCAGUAUCUUCACCUGUGAAAUGAAAAGAAUAUGAGUUCACCUCCCAGGGUCUGCAUGAGGAUUCAGCCAGACAAACCCUUGGAAGGUGGCGGGCACGGAGAGUGUGCUCAGCAGAUGUCUGCUGGAGCUAUGUGUGGGGUGGGGACUUGGAGGAGAAGGAUUGCCUUAUGGUGGGUGGAGGGUGGGCAGUUUGCUUUGGUGGCAGUUUUAUACAAUUCCAGUAUCACAAUUCAAGAAAUGUCCAGAAAAGGGAGUGACUUGCCCAUGGUCACCCAGCAAGUCUGUGGCACAGACAGAUCAAUUCCUCCUGAGCUUGGUGGACCAAUGAGCACCACGCAGGCAAAUGGGGCAGACUCCUCUCUCUUCAUGCAUCAUUGUCCUGCUGCAGGGCAGGGCAGGGGAUGAAGAGCCACAGAUUGGCCGGACAUCACACCUGCCCUUCGACAGGGCUGGGGUGGGCUCUCUGCUGACUGGUGGGGCCAGUCCGUUUUGCUUCUGCGGUGUCAGGUGGGAGCCAGGCUAUCCCUAAUUGGCUUCUACCUCUUAACGCAGCUGAUUUCAGGCCUUCCUUGGUGGGUCAUGGGGAAAGGGAUCCCCAUUAACCAAUUAGUUCCUUUCCCAGCGCAUCCAGCCAUCGGUCCUCUUCCAGGGGUAGGGGGUGGCCCCAUGCUGCAGCUGAGGCCCAGCCUUGGCCCCCUGGGAGUGAGGGCAGCUGCUAAGCAGCUCUCAGAAUGAGGUAGGAGGCAGGGCUCCCAGGAAUGGCCCGGUGCAGGAAUCCCUUGUGCCAUUCUCCCUCACUGCCGCCCCAGGCCUCAGAGGCGGAGGCGGCGGGCGGUGACGGCAUCAUCUCGGCUGGAAAGUCCAGCUUAAUCCCAAGUUAAUGAUGGUGGUGUACGGUAGGAAUCCUGCCCCAGCUGGCACUGCUGGGAGGGGAGGCAAAGGAAGCGCUGGGAGGCAGCCGGGCUGCUGGGAACCACCUAGUACAAUAGCAGCUUCCAGGAACUCUGGGUGAUGGGGUGGCUGAGUGGGCUCAGGGCAUGUUGAUACAUUCAGACUCUUUCUUCCCGAGAAACCUUUCUCCUCUGCUCUCAGCUGUCCACUCACCCAAAUAUUCACAUACACACCCCUUCGCAUCUCUCACCUACACACAUUUUCUUAUAUGCACGUUCAUGUCAUACACACAUUCAUACAUAUGCACCUCCCUAAGCUGCUCAAAUGGCAAGAUACACACAUUUACACACACAUCCAUUCCCCCCCGACACACAGCUAUAGAUGGCCACGGAGACUUUUAUAUAUAAUCCAUGCAUUCAUAAUAAUAAAAAUAGGUGCUAUCGACGGAGUGCUUACUAUUUAUCCCAUACCAUGCUCCAUAUUUCUCAUAACCUCUUUACAAGAUAGGUAUUGCCAUUUUCUUAUUUUCCUGACAUGGAAACUGAGAGUUAGAAAGGUUCAAUAACUUGCCCCAGAUCCCACAGCGAGAAGGAGCAGAUCUGGGGGGUUGGACCUUGGCCAGGCUGACCCCACCACAAGCAUUCUUAACCCCAGUGUCCCUGACUCUUGACCUCUGUUUCCCACCAGAGGCCCUGCUCCAUCUCACAGAUAAGGAGUCAGAAUCUCUUGGAGUGAGGCUCAGGAGACCAAGUCUUAGAAAAUGCCCCUGGGCAUUCUGCAGGGAGGCUGGGAUAUGAGAGCUGGUCACACUGUGCUGUGAGACUUUCUGGACACAUUCAUUAUCCCCAGCGUAGUACCACCUCCAUGCAGACACCUCACUCAUACCUCCAGCCUCUCAGCCUUCCAUAUCCACAGACACCCUCACACACCCACACUUGCCUCUUUAGCUACAUACACACCCACCCACACAUGAGCCUUCCCGUGUGUGUGCUUACACAUGCACAUGCAAAAACACACUCUCUGCCCGUAAUCCCAGCACUUUGAGAGGCAGAGGCAGGAGGAUCACCUGAGCUCGAGAGUUCGAGACCAGCCUGGCCAACAUGGUGAAACCCCGUCUCUACUAAAAAUACAAAAAUUAGCCGAGCGUGGUGGCGAGUGUCUGUAAUCCCAGCUACUCGGGAGGUCGAGGCAGGAGAAUCGCUUGAACCCAGGAGACAGNNNNNNNNNNNNNNNNNNNNNNNNNNNNNNNNNNNNNNNNNNNNNNNNNNNNGUAAGACUCCAUCUCAAAAACAAAAACAAAACCCCCAAACAACAACAACAACAACAACAACAAAACACACUCUCCCAGGCAAGGCCAGCCCUUCCUUAUUCUUGUUCCUCAUCCUCUCUGAUUCUUUUCUGAUGCCCUGUCCUGGUAACUUUUCCCCCAAACACAGGCAUCAGAAACCUUGCAGAGGAACGGAGUUAAAGAGAUGAGAAGGUGGAGAGGGAUCCUUGAUACCCCUCCUUGCACUGGAGUGCCAGGAAUCCACAGCUAUAUCCCGAGGACAGGGCAGCAAGAAAAGC